rnacentral:rRNA from 1 species
UACGUAGGGGGCAAGCGUUGUCCGGAUUUAUUGGGCGUAAAGAGCGUGUAGGCGGCCAGGUAGGUCUGCUGUGAAAACUCGAGGCUUAACCUCGAGCUGUCGGCGGAAACCAUCUGGCUAGAGUCCGGAAGAGGAGAAUGGAAUUCCCGGUGUAGCGGUGAAAUGCGCAGAUAUCAGGAGGAACACCGGUGGCGAAGGCGGAUCUCUGGGCCUUACCUGACGCUCAGGUGCGAAAGCUAGGGGAGCGAACAGG